rnacentral:hammerhead_ribozyme from 1 species
ACCCAGCUGACGAGUGCCAAAUAGGAAGAAAUGCGCGUCCUGUAU